rnacentral:rRNA from 1 species
AACGAACGCUGGCGGCAUGCCUAACACAUGCAAGUCGAACGAAGGCUUCGGCCUUAGUGGCGCACGGGUGCGUAACGCGUGGGAAUCUGCCCUUUGGUUCGGAAUAACAGCUGGAAACGGCUGCUAAUACCGGAUGAUGACGAAAGUCCAAAGAUUUAUCGCCAGAGGAUGAGCCCGCGUUGGAUUAGGUAGUUGGUGGGGUAAAGGCCUACCAAGCCGACGAUCCAUAGCUGGUCUGAGAGGAUGAUCAGCCACACUGGGACUGAGACACGGCCCAGACUCCUACGGGAGGCGGCAGUGGGGAAUAGUGGACAAUGGGCGCAAGGCUGAUCCAGCAAGGCCGCGUGAGUGAUGUAGGCCCUAGGGUUGUAAAGCUCUUUUACCCGGGAAGAUAAUGACUGUACCGGGAGAAUAAGCCCCGGCUAACUCCGUG